AUGCUCACUUUGGCAGCACAUGUACUAAAAGCAGAAUGAUUGCAGAGAAGAUUAGCAUGGCCCCUUCACAAGGAUGACAUGCAGAUUUGUGAAGCAGUCCAUAUUUUU